UCUAAUAUGGCAGAUUAGUGUAUUGAGUUUAAGCUUCAAAAAUAAACCCUAGGUUUUGUUAGAA
rnacentral:tRNA from 1 species